rnacentral:tRNA from 1 species
GCGGGUGUAGUUCAAUGGUAGAACUUCAGCCUUCCAAGCUGAUUAUGUGGGUUCGAUCCCCAUCACCCGCUCCA